GGGACCCUAGAGAGCCUUGACUGUGAGGACUGAGGGCCUCCUUUGUUGCCCAGGCCGGAGUGCAGUGGCUAUUCACAGGUCGAUAAUGCAAUCAUGGUGCACACUACAGCCUUGAACUUCUGGGCUCAUGUGAUCCUUCUGCCUCAGCCUCCCAGAAAUAAGAAGAAAAAAAAGGAUAUUACCAACAAUGGAAGAGGAAUGCAGAGUGGCAACAGCUCCAAGUGGACCUGGCAGACUAUGAACACUAGAAUCACCAAGGAAACAUGGAGCUAUGAAAUGGCAAAAGGCUGUGUGAAAACCCUGACGCUUUUUGGUUCAGCCUUUAAAAACCAAAUGAAAACUCAAGAGAUACAAGAAUGUGGUUAUUUUGAUGAACAACUCACAAACUAGUUGAAUUAAAAGAAACUGGUUCAAAUGAACACAAACCUA
ensembl:lncRNA HEATR5A-DT HEATR5A divergent transcript